CAACCUGGACGCUCUGGCGUGCAUCAAACUGAUAUCCUUCCGACGUCUGGUGGAGUCUUCAGGAAAGCAGCGGGGGUUACAGAGUGCCACUGCAGCAAUGUUAACCACCCUCACCAUGUUUCAUGUU